rnacentral:miRNA from 1 species
UUCCUUCCGGUCGAUGAGGUAUAACAACCUCAUCGACGGCCUUCCGUCGAUGAGGGUGUUUUACCUCAUCGGCCGGAAGGGA